rnacentral:pre_miRNA from 1 species
GAAAUUCGUUGGCGAUUUUGAGUGAAAUCGGAGAGGGAAUUCGUCGGCGAUUUUGAGUGAAAUCAGAAGGAAAUUCGCCGGCGAUUUUGAGUGAAAUCGGAGAGGAAAAUC